rnacentral:rRNA from 1 species
UACGUAGGGUGCGAGCGUUGUCCGGAAUUACUGGGCGUAAAGAGCUCGUAGGUGGUUUGUCGCGUUGUCCGUGAAAACUCACAACUCAAUUGUGGGCGUGCGGGCGAUACGGGCAGACUGGAGUACUGCAGGGGAGACUGGAAUUCCUGGUGUAGCGGUGGAAUGCGCAGAUAUCUGGAGGAACACCAGUGGCGAAGGCGGCGAUCUGGGAAGAUACUGACGCUGAGGUGCGAAAGCGUGGGGAGCAAACAGG